CUUCCCUGCAAUAGAACAAUAGAACCAAUGUGAAAGCCUGAUAAAUGGAAACUGAAAUCGACUUCAAAACGGUCGUCUGUGCUCUGUCUAUCAGAUGUGAUCGAUUUUUGUUUGUCUUUUGUUGCCAAGGAUAUCCAUUGUGGUUGGUUACGUUAGCACAGGUGGCAGGUGGAGUAAGCCUGCCAUUACUCUCUGAGUUACGACUGCUACUGUCGGUCAAGGGAACGACUUACCCAUAAUUCUGGUCAGAACCAUCUGAGCGCGUUGAUUAGCUGAGCCUGACAAGCUGUCUGACUCACGCUUAACAAAUGGAGGCCGCACGCUGAUUGGUCGAGUCUAACGAACGUGACUCACGGUGUGACUCACGCAAUGCAAACGGUGUGGCUGACAGUGUGACUAACGCGUCACUCGCAAAUUGCAACCAGAGUGAAACAGGAUAAUACUAUAUAGAGAAAAAGCGUCGGAUUAUACAUAAACACACACUCAGAUAUUUGCUUGAAAGAAUAUUUUAUUUCGUUUUAAUUAAACGUAAACACAAAUUAGUAAAUAUGGUUUAUUCAUAGUCAAACGCGGGAAAACAACUUGGACAAUGUCCCUCGGAACAAUUUUAAAGGGCAUAAUAUGACUCGAAAAUUGACAUUGUUAUUUUUUAGUCUAAUUUGAAAGAUCAUUGAAAACUGUAGAGUAACUUCCGUGACAGGUUUUUGUUUUCUUGCUUCGUUUUGGAGAUAUUUCAUUUUGUAUGAUAUGCAAAAGAACAACUUUCUACGUCACACAUGCAUAAUGGCUUACUUUAAAGUGUUAUAUAAUUUUGUCACUAUCAAAUAAAUUCUCUCAAAAUGGAUGAUGAGCACGAGAUUUGUCCAUAACAACACCCAUGCAGGUUUUCUACUGAUUCUGUUUAGUCAUAUACUAAAGAUAUGCAGCUUUUCGUGCUAAAUCAUUAUGCAUAUGUGACGUAGGAGGUUGGUCCUUUGCAUAUCAUACAAAAAGUGAAAUAUCUUCAAAACGAAGCAAAAUUACAGUAAAAAAUAACAACGUCAAUUUUCGAUUCAUAUAGCCCUUAAGCAACACUAACGCUAAAAAUUGCCCUGUGGCUCAUCGCAUGCACAAGUGUUUUUCCACGUUUGACUUCAUUAUUAGAAAGGUACGUCUGUAAUUGAUCUAUUGGAAAUGGAGUGGUAGAGUAACUGAAAAUAAAAAGCCAGUAAAUAUAAAUCGCGUAAAAUUACUGCAACUGAGAAAAAGCAAUUCAGUCUCGAUCACUAUUUUACUUCUCGUACGUUUAGACCUUGGGCUUAUUCAAUACUUAAUCGGUCUCUGCAUAUAACUCUUACCAUACAGCUAAUUAAGUCAGUAAUAUAGUUGUCCUCUGAAAGUUAAAACUCACAAUCCCAAUAUCUCAAAGCGCGAAAAGUACAAUACAUGGUCGUGUUUAUUAUUACACUGUUUAUUCAUGCAUUUAAGCCUAUAUAGUUGUUAGGCCUACGUUUUGGAAAUUUUGAACCCCGAGCCAACGGCUUGAAGUGCCCACUCCGGACCCAGGCACUAAUUGUACUCGGCUUUUUACACCCGGGUAUGUG